ACAAUGGAGAGUUUGAUCCUGGCUCAGGAUGAACGCUAGCGGCAGGCUUAAUACAUGCAAGUCGUGGGGCAGCGCAGUGUAGCAAUACAUGGGCGGCGACCGGCAAACGGGUGCGGAACACGUACACAACCUUCCUUUUAGUGGAGCAUAGCCUAAGGAAACUUGGAUUAAUACUCCGUAACAUAAUGAAGUGGCAUCACUUUAUUAUUAUAGCAGCAAUGCGCUAGAAGACGGGUGUGCGGCUGAUUAGGUAGUUGGCGGGGUAACGGCCCACCAAGCCUACGAUCAGUAACUGGUGUGAGAGCACGACCAGUCACACGGGCACUGAGACACGGGCCCGACUCCUACGGGAGGCAGCAGUAAGGAAUAUUGGUCAAUGGA
rnacentral:ncRNA from 2 species